rnacentral:rRNA from 1 species
CAGGGAUUGCCCUAGUAACGGCGAGUGAAGCGGCAACAGCUCACAUUUGAAAUCUGGCUCUUUUAGAGUCCGAGUUGUAAUUUGCAGAGGGCGCUUUGGCUUUGGCAGCGGUCCAAGUUCCUUGGAACAGGACGUCACAGAGGGUGAGAAUCCCGUACGUGGUCGCUGGCUAUUGCCGUGUAAAGCCCCUUCGACGAGUCGAGUUGUUUGGGAAUGCAGCUCUAAAUGGGAGGUACAUUUCUUCUAAAGCUAAAUAUUGGCCAGAGACCGAUAGCGCACAAGUUGAGUGAUCGAAAGAUGAAAAGCACUUUGGAAAGAGAGUCAAACAGCACGUGAAAUUGUUGAAAGGGAAGCGCUUGCAGCCAGACUUGCUUACAGUUGCUCAUCCGGGUUUCUACCCGGUGCACUCUUCUGUAGGCAGGCCAGCAUCAGUUUUGGGCGGUAGGAUAAAGGUCUCUGUCACGUACCUCCUUUCGGGGAGGCCUUAAAAGGG